GAUGAACGCUGGCGGCGUGCUUAACACAUGCAAGUCGAACGAGGAUAUAUGGAACGAGAGCUUCGGCAGGAAUUUUAUAUAUCUUAGUGGCGGACGGGUGAGUAACGUGUGGGCAACCUGCCCUGUACUGUGGAAUAAUCACUGGAAACGGUGACUAAUACCGCAUGUCAUUACCGGAGGGCAUCCUCUGGUAAAAAAGGAUUUAUUCGGUACAGGAUGGGCCCGCAUCUGAUUAGCUAGUUGGUGAGAUAACAGCCCACCAAGGCAACGAUCAGUAGCCGACCUGAGAGGGUGAUCGGCCACAUUGGGACUGAGACACGGCCCAAACUCCUACGGGAGGCAGCAGUGGGGAAUAUUGCACAAUGGGGGAAACCCUGAUGCAGCAACGCCGCGUGAAGGAUGAAGAAUUUCGGUUUGUAAACUUCUGUUAUAUGGAAGAAAUUGACAGUACCUGACUAAGAAGCCCCGGNUAACUACGUG
rnacentral:rRNA from 1 species